GGUGAAGGCAGCACACCUAAACGGGUUAGUCUCUCCCAAAAACCCAAAAUAAAUAACAGUAAUACAGAAUGCAACAGAACCCCUGUUAUUGCCUGGAAACCCUAGCCCAACUGUGUGCACAAAACCCCCUUUUUCAGUCCCUAUAUUUGCCUCAUGGCACUGAGAACAAAAACCAUUUGUUUAUUUGCAUUCACCCAAAGUGACUGAUCGUGUAUUUG